AGUUAGAAGAUUGUGUUAGUGAUAUAUCUAUCAUUUAUCACUUUAACAUUACACAACUGCCUCCCUUGACAACAGAAAACCGGAAAUGAUGUAGGUUUUCAGAUUAAGAUGAUAUACUUUUUCCAGAGCUGAUAUUGCUUGCCACCUUUUUUUGGAAUUAUUUUUAUCAUGAUAUCAAAUGGUUCUGAGCAAUACUCGUUCAAAAGUUAUAUGCAAAAACAAGUGCAAGAUAUAGAGGCUCCCAUAA
ensembl:snoRNA C04F12.17 ncRNA